GACGAACGCUGGCGGCGUGCUUAACACAUGCAAGUCGAACGGUGAAGCUCCAGCUUGCUGGAGUGGAUCAGUGGCGAACGGGUGAGUAACACGUGAGCAACCUGCCCCAGACUCUGGAAUAAGCGCUGGAGACGGCGUCUAAUACUGGAUACGAGAUCAAGCCGCAUGGUUAUGGUCUGGAAAGUUUUUCGGUUUGGGAUGGGCUCGCGGCCUAUCAGCUUGUUGGUGAGGUAAUGGCUCACCAAGGCGACGACGGGUAGCCGGCCUGAGAGGGCGACCGGCCACACUGGGACUGAGACACGGCCCAGACUCCUACGGGAGGCAGCAGUGGGGAAUAUUGCACAAUGGGCGAAAGCCUGAUGCAGCGACGCCGCGUGAGGGAUGACGGCCUUCGGGUUGUAAACCUCUUUCAGCAGGGAAGAAGCGAAAGUGACGGUACCUGCAGAAGAAGCACCGGCUAACUACGUG
rnacentral:rRNA from 1 species